UACGGAGGGUGCAAGCGUUGUCCGGAUUUAUUGGGUUUAAAGGGUGCGUAGGUGGCCUUAUAAGUCAGUGGUGAAAGCCUGAUGCUUAACAUCAGAACUGCCAUUGAUACUGUAAGUCUUGAAUUCGAUCGAAGUGGGCGGAAUAUGACAUGUAGCGGUGAAAUGCUUAGAUAUGUCAUAGAACACCGAUAGCGAAGGCAGCUCACUAGGUCUGGAUUGACGCUCAGGGACGAAAGCGUGGGGAGCAAACAGG
rnacentral:rRNA from 1 species